GAUGAACGCUGGCGGCGUGCCUAAUACAUGUAAGUCGAACGGAGUAUUUAGCAAUAGAUACUUAGUGGCGAACGGGUGAGUAACGCGUUGGUGACCUGCCCCGAAGAGUGGGAUAACAGUUCGAAAGGACUGCUAAUACCGCAUAAUAUCAUCAGGGUUAGAGGUCUGAUGAAGAAAGGAGCGAUCCGCUUUGGGGAGGGGCCUGCGUCCCAUCAGCUAGUUGGUAAGGUAACGGCCUACCAAGGCGUAGACGGGUAGGGGACCUGAGAGGGUGGCCCCCCACAAUGGAACUGAAACACGGUCCAUACACCUACGGGUGGCUG
rnacentral:rRNA from 1 species